CGCGAACACACUGAGUCAUAUGCACCAGAAUGUAAAGCUGUCUGUGGAAGAAACACAUCCUGAUCCAAGAUAUGUUCAGCUUCAGGAUGAGGAAGGUCAACAGACGCUUUUACAUCAGGAAAUUCAAGGGACCCUCAGUGUGCUAAGAUUCCCAGACCGUAAUGUGCAGUUAUCCGUGGAAGAAACGGUGCUGUGUUCUCAUCUAAGCUCCGUGCAGCCCUGGGUUCUGAAUGAAGAUGACGGAGGAAUGAUUUUGCACCACAUUCAACCACGCAGUUAGGCCUGUCGAUGUCACUGUCUAUACAAUUAUACAAUUAAAUUAUGUUUUUAAUAUAAAUCAGUUUUGUAUAUUUGUGAUAGAUAAAUAAAUGUAUAUAAC
ensembl:lncRNA